GAUGAAGAACGUAGCGAAAUGCGAUACGUAAUGUGAAUUGCAGAAUUCAGUGAAUCAUCGAAUCUUUGAACGCAUAUUGCGCUCACUGGUAUUCCGGAGAGCAUGCUUGUUUGAGUAUCAGUAAACACCUCAACUUCCAUAUCUUUUUUGAAAUGGGAGUUGGACUUGAGUGAUCCCAACGCUUUUCCUCACCGAAAAGUGGCGGGUUACUUGAAAUGCAGGUGCAGCUGGACUUUUCUCUGAGCUAUAAGCAUAUCUAUUUAGUCUGCCUAAAAAACAGAUUAUUACCUUUGCUGCAGCUAACAUAAAGGAGAUUAGUUCUUGUGCUGACUGAUGCAGGAUUCACAAAGACAGGCUUCGGCCGACUUUGUAAACUCGAUCUCAAAUCAAGUAAGACUACCCGCUGAACUUAAGCAUAUCAAUAAGCGGAGGA
rnacentral:misc_RNA from 1 species